AUGCCAGUGUGCUUUUCCCCCUCCAAGAUUUGGAUCAGUACACUAAGGAUGCAGGGUCUGCUCUCUGAUGGACUCCAGUACAUUUCAACAGGAGGAGAGCAAGAAAUCAACUCAGAGCAUCAUUUAUGUCUCCUCACCACAGCAGCCUUCACUGACCCAGUGACUCCAGCAAGCUGCCUUCAGCAGUCUUCACCACUGUCUCUUAGUAUUCAGGUCUUUAAAAUGGCAUUUGUAGCUGCUUUUUGCUUAUUUCUAGAUCUGAUGUUAAAAUAAGACUGAAAGCAUAAGCUGGAAAUCAGACGUGCCUUGUGUAAGUCUGACAGAAGUUCCCUGCAUACCACAGCUGAGUCACCUUGUAAACAAUGUAGAAAGCAGGUAAGUUUUGCUUCAUCUUCCUUGACAGUGCAGCUGGGGGUAAGAAUUGGACUGCUUCUGAAAAUCUGGAUGCUCAACAAGCGAGUGUUUGAG
rnacentral:lncRNA from 1 species